GGGGCGGGAUGAACAUGGCGGCGCGACGGGGGCCAGGGCUCUCAGGGCUCGCCAUUGCAGCUGGGAAUGCUCGUUUCGUGGGCUCCUGGGUCCCCGUCGAUUGGCAUCCAGCGAGCAGAGCGCAGGGCUGUGGGCCACAGAAUUCUGUAGGUCAUCCAGAGGACCCAAGACAUGGUGGUUACUAAUAGACUUCCCACACUACUUCUUCAUUCCACGUGGACUCCUUCACGGGCAGUGAGCAUCGCAGCUUCCCUUGAACUUCAUCUGGAUUUAAUGACAACAGGCUCAACUUUUCAUUCACUUGUAUGACUAUGAGCAGUUUGACCAAGUUGAAGAAGAUGACUCGUUUGUAGUCUUCCUCAUCAGCUCAUUCCAUCUACUGGCUUUAAAAUCAUUUAGUACAGAGCUCACCGUCUAGGUGUUCAUCCAGUGUUUUGUUUGCUUAUCAUGCAGGAUCAUUUUAAAAGGAAAAGUAUGUGUGUAUGAGUUAGAGCUCUGAUCCCAGGAGUCCAUGUAGAAGCUUCCCCUGAGAAAUGGAUCGUUUUUGCACCAAUGCUACUGAAAUGUGUGAAUGUGGUAUACCACGCGUCCCAAUAAGUGUAAACAGCGUCAUAGGCUACUUAUUUGAAAUGACCAGUACUCAUGACAUUCCAUUCAACUGAGGACUAAAUAUAGCCAACGUAGGCUGUGUUUGCCAAAUAGACUUUGAAGUAUUCUUCACACAGUCCUUCAUCGAUGCCAGUUUUCAGAUCGAAGAAACCCUUGCUCCAUGAAGUUUGUGAACACAUAUACUCAUGUUUUGUUUGAGAUUUUAAAGUCAUUCUUCAGUUUUGUUGGAGGAAUGGUUCUGUAUAUGCCCCGUGGAUCCCCAAAUCCACUGAUGUUCAUGUGUCUUGGGGCUUCCCAGGUGGUUCUAGUGGUAAAGAACAUGCAGAACAUACCCAUGCAGGAGACAUGGGAGGUAUGGAUUCCAUCCCUGGGGCAGGAAGAUCUCCUGAGGGAGAGCGUGGCAACCCCCUCCAGUAUCUUUGCCUAGAGAAUCUCAUGGAGAGAGGAGCCUGGUGGGGCCUAGUCCAUAUGAUCCCAAGGAGUUGGACACAAUGUAAGUGACUUCGCACAGCACAUGAUUCGUUGUCAUAGCUAAUAUAAUGGAGAUGACAUAAAAAGAAGCACCAGCGGGCGAAAGUCAAUAUCCAUCACUUUUAAACUUUGGAAUGUAUUGUGAUAUUUUACAUCCAUAUUUGUAUGACUUGAUAGUUGGAGAAUCGAUGCAUGUGAAGGCCUGGUUGUGUUAUAUGUAUGUUGAGGGAAGAUAUAUUUUUAUGUGGUUUGACAUAUAGGUCCCAUUUCAUUCGUAGACAUAUGCAUACUCAUCACUUAUCAUCAUUUUUUUUUUGAAAAGACCAUUGUUUGGAAAGGUUGUUGUCUAACCAUGAAAGAUGCUUGAAUUCUUGGGCUCCUUAGAGGAAGAAUUCAACCCGGGGCCAGUGAUGAGGCUUGAUCAGUCAGAGCUUUUGUGUCCCAACGUUUUAUUAAAGUAUAAAAGAGAGAAAGCUUCUGACAUAGACAUCAGAAGGGGGCAGAAAGAGUGCCCCCCUACUCAUCUUUGGCUGGAUGUUAUCUAGCUACUAGCAGUCUACUCAUUAGAGAAAGGAAUGGCAGCAGACCCCUCACCCACAAGAUAUAUGGAGAUGACCGUGGCACCAGGUGAGUCAUCCUGGGCCAUAAAACGAUUGAUAUGAGCAAAUGCAUAGCUUCAUUCACAUAGAUCAGGAGAGCCAUGUAUGAGUAAAGCAUAUUGGUUUGUCAAGUCAGUUCUGAGCCUUUAGGCAGAACCUACUUGAAGAUAGAGUCUAGGGUAAAUACAUAGUACAUUCACAUAGCUUAAGGCAAACCUUUCCAUGAGAAAAAUGCCUUGGUCAGCUCAAAGUAUGAGAAAAGUGAAGUUCAGGCGGAACCAGGUGUCAUUAUAGCAACACAGAUUUGUAAGAGAAAAAUCUCUUUUUAAAUUUGUAUCAAGAAGGGGAAAAAGAUAACAGCUUGUUUCCUCCUGCCUCGGAAGUGACAGAUAACAACUGUCUGACACUUGCACCCCAUUUCCUCCCUGUGGAGACCCCUGGCCUUCCUGGCUGUUACCCUCUCAGUUUCAUUCAUUGAGCGUUUUCUGCCUUGUGAAACAUUGGGCAUAGAAGUAUGUGUUUAUUUAGGGGUAUUUCAUCCAAUUUCAUUUAAAUGCAUAUGUGAAUUAGAAAGUUUGACAUGCUGUUGCUUUGUAUACCGAUUGGGAAAUGUGAGCCUCCAAGCUUAAUUUAGUUUUUCAUGUUCAUUUUUCUUUUUAGGGGUACAAAGAAAAAUAAUAUGACUGUUAAGAUCAGCUUUCGUAUUUUUUGCCAAAUAUGAAUUGGGAUCACAUCGAUCAGAGAUGAGUCUGUGCAUGAAAGCCCUAAUAACUAAUGCUAAUUGACUUCACUACCAUGGGAUGUUUUCAUAUCUAUUGAGGAUUUACUUCAUGUAUUUCGAUUUUAACUUUCUGUCUUACAGCCUUGUUUGUAGAUCAAAGCUAUUUGAAAUUGUCAUCUGGUUUCAAAUGGCUUGUGAGGUUAUUCAUGAGUGGCUUAUAAAACCGAAUGGAUUGUACGUAGCCAUACUUUGUUGUCAUUCUAUGAAUUUGAAGAAUGUCUGAAGAAUGUCUGCAGUUAUGCCUUAAAGAUUCAUACAAUUGAUGUCCAAUAUUUAUCUCAAUAGACUUGCUUUCAAUUUGUAGUUUCCUAUGCGUAUGUCUUUCUUUAUGGAUUUGGGUAGAACUUGUAUUGGAACACUGAAAAAUCUGUGAUAUCAACCGUGCUGACCUUUCUGGUGGUCAUCAUUAAGAUUUUCACGCUCUAUGGAUCCUAGUGGAAACAGGUGCUGUUCAUCCUACUUUUGUGAAGAUUGAACUCAUCGUAGAAAGUGGAAUUUGUUGAAAUAUUUAUGGUAUAAAUAAAUCUUGUCUCUAUAAUUAAAAAAAAAAAAAAAAAAAAAAAAAAAACUAGAGCAA
ensembl:lncRNA